AUACGGAGAGGGCGAGCGUUGUUCGGAUUUACUGGGCGUAAAGGGCAUGUAGGUGUCCCGAUAAGCUCUGGGUGAAAUCUCCGCGCUCAACGCGGAAACGAAUCAGAGAACUAUCGGGAUUGAGUUCACGAGAAGAGAGUGGAAUUCUCAGUGUAGCGGUGAAAUGCGUAGAUAUUGAGAAGAACACCAGCGGCGAAGGCGGCUCUCUAUUCUGAAACUGACACUCAAAUGCGAAAGCGUGGGGAGCGAAUGGGAUUAGAAACCCCAGUAGUCC
rnacentral:rRNA from 1 species